rnacentral:rRNA from 1 species
AGCUUGCUACCUGACCUAGCGGCGGACGGGUGAGUAAUGCUUAGGAAUCUGCCUAUUAGUGGGGGACAACAUUCCGAAAGGAAUGCUAAUACCGCAUACGCCCUACGGGGGAAAGCAGGGGAUCUUCGGACCUUGCGCUAAUAGAUGAGCCUAAGUCAGAUUAGCUAGUUGGUGGGGUAAAGGCCUACCAAGGCGACGAUCUGUAGCGGGUCUGAGAGGAUGAUCCGCCACACUGGGACUGAGACACGGCCCAGACUCCUACGGGAGGCAGCAGUGGGGAAUAUUGGACAAUGGGCAAAAGCCUGAUCCAGCCAUGCCGCGUGUGUGAAGAAGGCCUUUUGGUUGUAAAGCACUUUAAGCGAGGAGGAGGCUACUUGGAUUAAUACUCUAGGAUAGUGGACGUUACUCGCAGAAUAAGCACCGGCUAACUCUGUGCCAGCAGCCGCGGUAAUACAGAGGGUGCGAGCGUUAAUCGGAUUUACUGGGCGUAAAGCGUGCGUAGGCGGCUUCUUAAGUCGGAUGUGAAAUCCCUGAGCUUAACUUAGGAAUUGCAUUCGAUACUGGGAAGCUAGAGUAUGGGAGAGGAUGGUAGAAUUCCAGGUGUAGCGGUGAAAUGCGUAGAGAUCUGGAGGAAUACCGAUGGCGAAGGCAGCCAUCUGGCCUAAUACUGACGCUGAGGUACGAAAGCAUGGGGAGCAAACAGGAUUAGAUACCCUGGUAGUCCAUGCCGUAAACGAUGUCUACUAGCCGUUGGGGCCUUUGAGGCUUUAGUGGCGCAGCUAACGCGAUAAGUAGACCGCCUGGGGAGUACGGUCGCAAGACUAAAACUCAAAUGAAUUGACGGGGGCCCGCACAAGCGGUGGAGCAUGUGGUUUAAUUCGAUGCAACGCGAAGAACCUUACCUGGUCUUGACAUAGUAAGAACUUUCCAGAGAUGGAUUGGUGCCUUCGGGAACUUACAUACAGGUGCUGCAUGGCUGUCGUCAGCUCGUGUCGUGAGAUGUUGGGUUAAGUCCCGCAACGAGCGCAACCCUUUUCCUUAUUUGCCAGCGAGUAAUGUCGGGAACUUUAAGGAUACUGCCAGUGACAAACUGGAGGAAGGCGGGGACGACGUCAAGUCAUCAUGGCCCUUACGACCAGGGCUACACACGUGCUACAAUGGUCGGUACAAAGGGUUGCUACCUAGCGAUAGGAUGCUAAUCUCAAAAAGCCGAUCGUAGUCCGGAUUGGAGUCUGCAACUCGAC